rnacentral:lncRNA from 1 species
GUUUUUUAUAGAUUCUGGAAUGGAUUUGAUGCAGUUGUGAUACAAAUUUAACGUUUCCAGUGGUGCAAAAAGCCAGACAUCAGGAGGAAUUUCAGUAAAUCUGUUCUUGGAAAGAUCUGCUUGAGUGGUGUCGCUCAGGUCGUAGCCGCUGCCCGGGAAGUCGCGCAGCUUCCUGCCGCUGAGACAGAGGAUGCCCGAGCUGCCCGCCUCCUCCAGGGCCCGGUCCAAGCUGCGCACCGUGUGAGGCUGCGGAAGGGUGGCCGCCCCCCAGUGAGGCCCGGCCGAGAAGGAGAGAGUGAGGUGAGCGGGGAUCCCCAGCCCCCCCGUCCCGUUGUUAUUGCUGCUGCUGCUGCCGCCGCUGUUGCUGCUACCGCCGCC